rnacentral:sRNA from 1 species
GCGACGGAGAUCGAAAAUGGACUCAGGC